GUGUUCGCUUAGGCAGCACAUAUACUAAAAUUAGAACAACACAGAGAAGAUUAACUUGGCCCCUGCACAAGAAUGACAUGCAAAUUCAUGAAGCAUUGCAUGUUCAA